UACGUAGGGGGCAAGCGUUGUCCGGAAUUAUUGGGCGUAAAGAGCGUGUAGGCGGUCCGGUAAGUCGGCUGUGAAAGUCCAGGGCUCAACCCUGGGAUGCCGGUCGAUACUGCCGGACUAGAGUUCGGAAGAGGCGAGUGGAAUUCCCGGUGUAGCGGUGAAAUGCGCAGGUAUCGGGAGGAACACCUAUGGCGAAGGCAGCUCGCUGGGACGUUACUGACGCUGAGACGCGAAAGCGUGGGGAGCAAACAGG
rnacentral:rRNA from 1 species